rnacentral:rRNA from 1 species
UUCCGGUUGAUCCUGCCGGACCUGACUGCUAUCGGAUUGAUACUAAGCCAUGCGAGUCUUUGCAGUAAUGCAAGGCAUACGGCUCAGUAACACGUAGUCAACCUACCCUAUGGACGAGAAUAAUCUCGGGAAACUGAGCAUAAUUCUUGAUAGAUCAUAAUGCCUGGAAUGGUUUAUGGUUAAAAUGAUUCGUCGCCAUAGGAUGGGACUGCGGCCUAUCAGCUUGUUGGUGAGGUAAUGGCCCACCAAGGCGAUUACAGGUACGGGCUCUGAGAGGAGAAGCCCGGAGAUGGGUACUGAGACACGGACCCAGGCCCUAUGGGGCGCAGCAGGCGAGAAAACUUUGCAAUGUGCGAAAGCACGACAAGGUUAAUCCGAGUGAUUUCUGCUAAAGAAAUCUUUUGUCAGUCAUAAAACCACUGGCGAAUAAGGGGUGGGCAAGUUCUGGUGUCAGCCGCCGCGGUAAAACCAGCACCUCAAGUGGUCAGGAUGAUUAUUGGGCCUAAAGCAUCCGUAGCCGGCUUUGUAAGUUUUCGGUUAAAUCCAUGUGCUCAACGCAUGGGCUGCCGAAAAUACUGCAUGGCUAGGGAGUGGGAGAGGUAGACGGUACUCAGUAGGAAGGGGUAAAAUCCUUUGAUCUAUUGAUGACCACCUGUGGCGAAGGCGGUCUACCAGAACACGUUCGACGGUGAGGGAUGAAAGCUGGGGGAGCAAACCGGAUUAGAUACCCGGGUAGUCCCAGCCGUAAACGAUGCAGACUCGAUGAUGCAUUGGCAUAAUAGCCAGUGCAGUGUCGCAGGGAAGCCGUUAAGUCUGCCGCCUGGGAAGUACGUACGCAAGUAUGAAACUUAAAGGAAUUGGCGGGGGAGCACCACAAGGGGUGAAGCCUGCGGUUCAAUUGGAGUCAACGCCGGG